CUUGGAAGCAGCCAUUCAUUUAAAGAGUGCGUAACAGCUCACUAGUCGAGGAGUCCGGCGUGGAUAAUACUCGGGCAUAAACUGUUUACCGAAGCUAUGGAUGUAGAAAUACAUGGUAGGGGAGCAUUCCAACGGCGUCGAAGGUGAAGGAUGACCUUUGCUGGAGCUUUUGGAAACGCAAAUGUAGGUAUAAGUAACGAUAAAGGAGGUGAGAAACCUCCUCGCCGAAAGACUAAGGUUUCCUGAUCAACGUUAAUCGGAUCAGGGUAAGUCGGGACCUAAGGUUAAGCCGAACGGCGAUACCGAUGGAAGAAUGGUUUAAUAUUCCCAUACUACUUUAUGGAGCGAUGUGGAGACGGAGAAGUGAAAGUCCUGCCAUCUGACGGAAUAGGUGGUUGAAGAGUGUAGAUGUAGAUUCCUGUAGGCAAAUCCGCAGGGAGAGUCGACCUUGAUAGUAUGCCGCGUGCUUGCACAAGGCAAAAUGGACGUAAUCAGGCUCCCAAGAAAAUCCGCUAAGCAUAUUCAUAAAGUACCCGUACCGUAAACGGACACACGUAGUUGGGUUGAAAAUACUGAGGCGCUCGAGUGAUUCACGGUUAAGGAACUAGGCAAAUUGACCCUGUAACUUCGGGAUAAAGGGUCCCAACGAGAGUUGGGCGCAGAGAAUAGGUCCAGGCAACUGUUUAACAAAAACACAGGGCUGUGCCAAAUUGAAAGAUUACGUAUACAGCCUGACACCUGCCCGGUGCUGGAAGGUUAAGAGGAGAUGUCAUCGCAAGAGAAGCAUUGAAUUGAAGCCCCAGUAAACGGCGGCCGUAACUAUAACGGUCCUAAGGUAGCGAAAUUCCUUGUCGGGUAAGUUCCGACCUGCACGAAUGGUGUAAUGAUCUGGACGCUGUCUCAACCGUGAGCUCAGUGAAAUUGUAGUAUCGGUGAAGAUGCCGAUUACCCGCGAUGGGACGAAAAGACCCCGUGAACCUUUACUAUAGCUUAACAUUGAAUUUGGGUAAUUGAUGUGUAGGAUAGGCCGGAGACUUUGAAGCAGGUACGCCAGUAUUUGUGGAGUCGCUGUUGAAAUACGGCCCUUUGAUUAUUUGAGUUCUAACUCGUAGAUGCGAGGACACUGUUUGGUGGGUAGUUUGACUGGGGUGGUCGCCUCCAAAAGUGUAACGGAGGCUUCUAAAGGUGCCCUCAGGACGAUUGGUAACCGUCCGUAGAGUGUAAUGGCAUAAGGGCGCUUGACUGGGAGACAGACAAGUCGAUCAGGUAGGAAACUAGAGCAUAGUGAUCCGGUGUUUCCGUAUGGA
rnacentral:rRNA from 1 species